GGAGAGGGCAAGUGUUAUUCGCAUUGACUGGGUGUAAAGGGUGCGUAGGUGGCUUGUUAAGUUUCAAAGUAAAGGUUAAACUCAAAGUUUAAAGGCUUUUUAAUACUAACAGGCUAGAGUUUACUAGAAGAUAGCUGAACAUUAAGUGUAAAGGUGAAAUUUUUCGAUAUUUAAAGGACAUGCAAUAGGCGAAGGCUGCUAUCUAUUUUAAUACUGACACUGAGGCACAAAAGCAUAGGGAUCAAACAGGAUUAGAGACCCUGGUAGUCUAUGCCCUGACCGAUGAAUAUUGAUUAUACUGCAAGGUAUAAUUAAGCUAACGCGUAAAUAUUCCACCUGAGUACUACGACCGCAAGGUUAAAACUCAAAGG
rnacentral:rRNA from 1 species